rnacentral:rRNA from 1 species
UACCAGCACCCCGAGUGGUCGGGACGAUUAUUGGGCCUAAAGCAUCCGUAGCCGGUCCUACAAGUCUUCCGUUAAAUCCACCUGCUCAACAGAUGGGCUGCGGAAGAUACUAUAGGGCUAGGAGGCGGGAGAGGCAAGCGGUACUCAGUGGGUAGGGGUAAAAUCCUCUGAUCCAUUGAAGACCACCAGUGGCGAAGGCGGCUUGCCAGAAUGCGCUCGACGGUGAGGGAUGAAAGCUGGGGGAGCAAACCAGG